CAACAACUGAAAGGAGGUGACCAGUGUCUCAUUGUCUCCAACCGAGGUCGCGCAUCGUGACCUGGAGCCUGAAGAUAGAGGUAUCCGCCUAGAGGCGUUGAAUCGCUCCAGGUUUCAGUCACGCCGCGCACCGCGGCCACGACGAUGGAGGGCCGUUCCGGGCGACCGGAACGGCCC
rnacentral:sRNA from 1 species